rnacentral:rRNA from 1 species
UACGAAGGGGGCUAGCGUUGCUCGGAAUCACUGGGCGUAAAGCGCACGUAGGCGGCUUCUUAAGUCGGGGGUGAAAUCCUGGAGCUCAACUCCAGAACUGCCCUUGAUACUGAGGAGCUCGAGUCCGGAAGAGGUGAGUGGAACUGCGAGUGUAGAGGUGAAAUUCGUAGAUAUUCGCAAGAACACCAGUGGCGAAGGCGGCUCACUGGUCCGGUACUGACGCUGAGGUGCGAAAGCGUGGGGAGCAAACAGG